GUCCAUGAACUUCCUUGGCCCUCUGCAUAACUUACUCAUUCUUCCAGAAAUAGGCCAGUCUGGAGGGGCAGUUUGCUGUGUGCUCAGAGUACAUUCAAGGUAGAAAGAGAGAAACUCAUGCUAAGCAGUAGAUAGCCCUUCCCAUCAACUGGGGAAUUGUGGCAUGGGAGGUAAUGACCUAUUAUGGCAUCAUAAGACAUACCAAAUACGAGAAAUUCAGAGAACUAUGGAAAUAUGUGUGAAUGGAUAUGGAAUGACAUAAGCAGAACCAGGGAAACAAUCUAGACAUUUGGCUAGAAUUAGAAACAAAAAGAGCCCCAAGAUACAGAAAGCACUAUGUAAUUGUAAUGACACAUCAUGAACUGAGAGAAAAAAAUGAGAAAAGGGACCCUACCCUGCUUCCUAUGAUCGCGAAAGAUGAGAUUUGGAAAGCACCUCUCUAGGCCCACUUCUACAGGAAAUAACUUAGAGGCAAGUGGUUAUUCAUCCUCCUUUUGAAGACCUUCAAGGAGGAGGAACUCUCCACUUCUCAAGGCAAUCCAUUCUACUCUUGAACAGCUCUAACGCAAUUUUUCUAGAGUCGGUGUCUGGCUUUCCAUUCCUGGAGGAGGUUAUAUAUCUACAUUUGAGUUCAUGUCUCCACAAUAAAUGUAGAAGGAAGAGACAAAGUCCUGCAAAGUUGGGUUUUGUCCUCUCCACAUUGGGACUUUACAGAACAGCUUUGACUUUAUCUGAUGCUCCAUCAGCCUUCUGGCUCCUGCUGACUGAGCCUGGGACAACACUUCUCACUUCCCACUCGUCAUUGUAAAUAUAAAAGUCUCCAUGUACAGAGAGUGACUGUCAUUCAUGCCACCAACAUUCUUCCAGCAGGUGCUGGGACAAGUUCAAUGGAAAGCUCACGGCCCAAGCUAGGGUUCUUUCUUUGUUGGGAGACUGAGGCUGUUUGCAUCUGGGUUAGGACAGCUGAGGAAGUGAGCAUCAGGCCAAGCUGGGCUGAGCUGGGCUGCACUAAGACCUAUCAGGGAGAGCAGAGUGCGUAGGUGGCCAGCUCAGCUGCUUGCCUGCCUCUCAGGAAGAACAAUUGAACUGUCACCCGGUG
rnacentral:lncRNA from 1 species